UCCUGCAUAAUUCCAAGUGAUCUUGGUGCAGGCUUCAAGCCUGUAGCUGUCUAGCGACAGAGUGGUUCAAUUCUGCCUUCCAGG